GGAACUGUGUCUGUCCGCCAGGGGUCACUGGAGUCGCAUGUCACCAAGAUGUAGACGAAUGUCAGUUGUUACCCAGGGGUCACUGUCAGUAUCACUGCCUCAACACUUUUGGAAGCUACCACUGUGUCUGUCCACCUGGCCGCGCAAUCAACUCAGACGGGCUCACAUGUAGCGAUAUCGAAUGCACUCCAGAAUGUCUUAAUGGCGGUCAUUGCCGAGCCGGAUCGUGUCACUGUCCUGCUGGAUUUAAAGGAAAAUUCUGCCAGACAGAUAUCGAUGAAUGUGCACGUCACUCAGGGUUGUGUGAACACCACUGUCGAAAUACACAUGGUGGGUACGCAUGCGUCUGCUCGCCCGGAAGUCGGCUUCGCCAGGACGGUAGAACGUGUGUCAAUACGACGUGUGUACCGGAGUGUAAAAAUGGAGGAGUGUGUAUUCAGUACAGAUGUCGGUGUCUAAAUGGUUAUCGGGGCAUCACAUGCCAAUUAGAUGUAAAUGAAUGUUUGGACUUACCUUGCAGUCAUAUCUGUACGAAUGUUCCCGGAAGUUACACUUGCGCAUGUCCAACCGGAUUUGAAUUGGGGAUUGACCGACACACAUGCUCAAAGUCGACUAUCAUUAGAGUGUAGAGAGACCAUCACAAAUUUGCGAUACUGACACUGGUUUGCUUAGAUUGCUAUAUAAGUUUAAUUGUCGAAUAUGGAUUUUAGCGUCAUAACCUACACAUCAACAGUCGCAAUUCCUGCACUAAGAACAGAAAGCUUUGUUAUUAACGUUGUCAAUUAAAGGUGCAAUAUUAA